AGAAAUUCGAGUCGAGGGGCUCUCUACACAGUAUUGUGGGCCCCGUUUUUCAGUCAUCCAGGGUUCAGUGGGCCGGAUGAGGAAGCAGUCGAAGAUUUGGCCCAUUUGAUUAGGUGUAGCGGGCCUGCCUGUACGGCCCAAUUAGAGAGCCUUCUCCCAUCCAUCGUCUUCUUCCUUCCUCGCACAGCUCGAUUACUUGCCCCUUGCCAGCUCCACCAAGGCACCAACUGGAUAUGCAGAGUGCUCCUCCGAAGGCACCUCCUCCCUCGCCUUCGCGCAGCCUCCCCGCUCCCUUCCCCAAUCCCCCGCCGUGCCUGCCCCCUACUCUCCACCUCUGCCUCCGCCGCCCCUUUCUCCCUCGAGGACUACCUCGUCGCCGCCUGCGGCCUCUCCCCAGCUCAAGCCCGGAAGACAGCCCAGAAGGCCGUCGAUGAAACAUCCAGAAAGGCUAAGAAAGCAUUCGAGGACAUCUACCGGUCCCGCCUCAGAUCCGCAUCCAACCCGGACGCCAUCCUCGCCCUUCUCUCCGGCGUCGGCCUCUCCCGCACAUACAUCGCUUCCAUAGUCGCCGCGGACCCGCUGCUCCUACGCUGCUCGGUGAAGACAAUCGGCCCCCGCCUCCUCUCUCUCCGGGACUGCCUCGGUCUGUCCGCUCCCCAGAUCGUUCGCUUACUCCUGGUCGGCUCCCCAGUCCCCAUGCGCUCUCCAGAGCAGCGACAUCGUUUCCAAGCUCCAAUUCUUGAUCUCAUUCUACGGCUCAUUUGAGUGGGUCCUGGUGGCAGCUAAGAGGAGUGGCGCCAUCCUGCACGCGAGCCUUGAGAGGGUGGUCGAGCAUAAGAUAGCCUUGCUUCGUCAGUUUGGUGUUCGAGAUAUUGCCACGCUGUGUUCAAACAACCCAAAGUUGCUUACGUUCAGCCUGGAGCGCGUGAAAGAGGUUUUGCUGCGGGCGGAAGAACUUGGGGUGCCUCGCAAUUCACGGAUGUUCAAGUACGUGGUGGCUGCGGUCGCUUGUAAUUCCAGGGAGAAGGUUGCUGCCAAGAUUGAGUUCUUUAAGAGGACUCUUGGUUGUUCUGAGUCCGUGGUUUCCAUUGCAGUGUGCAGACAGCCAAGUAUUUUAGGAGUCUCUGACGAGAAACUUAUUCGCAAGAUUGAGUUCCUGGUCAAUGAGGUUGGGAUGGAGCCACGGUACAUUCUGGAAAGGCCUCUUCUGCUUGCAUUAAGCCUGGAAAAGCGUGUGCUCCCACGGCAUAGGGUUCUGAAGGUUCUGCAGGCAAAGAGAUUGUUGAAUAGAAAGAUGAACCUUACUUCAUUCUUUACGUUUGGAGAGAAGGCUUUCAGAUUGAGGUUCAUUGACCCUCACGAGGACUAUGUUCCUGAUCUCGCAGGUUAUUAUGCCACGGCUUGUGCUGGUGAUGUGCCCCCUUAAGUCCAACUGUUACCCUGAAAUAUUUAAUUUUGAUGUCAUUGAGGUGGAUUGUGGAAUUGCAACUCAUGAUCAGUAGCAACUGUCCAUGGUACAGUGCAGACUUUCGAAUUUUUUGUUUCAGCAAUAUAACUACUUCUGAUCUUUGACUAGUCAUUGUUGAAGUUUUAGUUCUGGUUC